rfam:Oryctolagus cuniculus chromosome 4, whole genome shotgun sequence.
CAUUGUUCUGAUCGCCUGCUGAUCAGCUAUUAGGAAAGAGAGACCAGCUGAGUGCUUUGGGCCUGAACAACUUCGUACACUGACUCUCGUUUCAACUUCUUCAGCCUCACUCUCUCCGAAGCAAUGAGUUAUACAAGUUACAUCUUGGCUUUUCAGCUCUGCCU